rnacentral:rRNA from 1 species
GACGGGGCCCGCACAAGCGGAGGAACUACGUUGGUUUAAUUCGUAUGAUACGCGAGGAACCUUACCUGGGCUUAAAUGUAGAGUGCAUUUUUAGAGAUAGAAAUUCCCUUCGGGCUUUCUGCAAGGUGCUGCAUGGUUGUCGUCAGCUCGUGCCGUGAGGUGUCGGGUUAAGUCCCAUAACGAGCGCAACCCUUAUCGUUAGUUGCCAUCUGGUAAUGCAGGGGACUCUAGCGAAACUGCCACCGUAAGGUGAGAGGAAGGUGGGAUGACGUCAAAUCAGCACGGCCCUUAUGUCCAGGGCUACACACGUGUUACAAUGGUCGGUACAGAGGGCAGCUACCUGGUGACAGGAUGCUAAUCUCGAAAAACCGGUCUCAGUUCGGAUCGAAGUCUGCAACUCGACUUCGUGAAGCUGGAUUCGCUAGUAAUCGCGCAUCAGCUAUGGCGCGGUGAAUACGUUCCCGGGCCUU